CCCCAGGCUCUCAGGUUGCGCGUCUGCUCGUCUGCUUACCCGGUGACCUGGCAGGCCUGAUACACUUCUCCGCUUUGUUCCCUCUCCAGGUGGACCAGCGGGUGUUCAGAGACCUUAUGAGUGAGAAGCUGCCUCGGUUGCAUGGCCACUUUGAACAGUACAAAGUCGACUACACCCUCAUCACUUUCAACUGGUUUCUGGUGGUGUUUGUGGAUAGUGUCGUUAGUGACAUCCUCUUUAAAAUAUGGGACUCUUUCCUUUAUGAAGGACCAAAGGUUAUUUUCCGUUUUGCUCUGGCACUUUUUAAGUACA
rnacentral:sRNA from 1 species